AGUCACUGACAUUAGAUACCCCUGUAGUCCAGGGUGUAAACGCUGCGGGCUUGGUGUUGGGGGUCCUUUGAGGGCGCCCAGUGCCGGAGAGAAGUUGUUAAGCCUGCUGCUUGGGGAGUACGUCCGCAAGGAUGAAACUUAAAGGAAUUGGCGGGGGAGCACCGCAACGGGAGGAGCGUGCGGUUCAAUUGGAUUCAACGCCGGACAACUCACCAGGAGCGACGGUUACAUGAAGGCCAGGCUGAUGACCUUGCCUGAUUUUCCG
rnacentral:rRNA from 1 species